rnacentral:rRNA from 1 species
ACGGGUGAGUAAUACAUCGGAACGUAUCCUGGAGUGGGGGAUAGCCCGGCGAAAGCCGGAUUAAUACCGCAUACGCUCUGAGGAGGAAAGCGGGGGACCUUCGGGCCUCGCGCUCAAGGGGCGGCCGAUGGCGGAUUAGGUAGUUGGUGGGGUAAAGGCCUACCAAGCCGACGAUCCGUAGCUGGUCUGAGAGGACGACCAGCCACACUGGGACUGAGACACGGCCCAGACUCCUACGGGAGGCAGCAGUGGGGAAUUUUGGACAAUGGGGGCAACCCUGAUCCAGCAAUGCCGCGUGUGUGAAGAAGGCCUUCGGGUUGUAAAGCACUUUUGUCCGGAAAGAAAUCAUCGGGGCCAAUACCCCUGGUGGAUGACGGUACCGGAAGAAUAAGCACCGGCUAACUACGCGCCAGCAGCCGCGGUAAUACGUAGGGUGCGAGCGUUAAUCGGAAUUACUGGGCGUAAAGCGUGCGCAGGCGGUGCUGUAAGACCGAUGUGAAAUCCCCGGGCUUAACCUGGGAACUGCAUUGGUGACUGCAGCGCUGGAGUAUGGCAGAGGGGGGGUGGAAUUCCACGU